rnacentral:lncRNA from 1 species
GUAGUUAAAUGAGAUCAUGCUGCUAUAAUUUAAAUGAAAUAGUAGGCCUACGUAUUUCCAUUGAUGAAUAAUAAGACCAUCGUAAGUCUACUGUAGGCUAGGCUAAUUUCUGUUGAGAGGUAAAAUGUUAUGAGAUCGCUGAUCGAUAUGUAUAUACGACUAAUUUCUCCAUUUCUGAUUGCCUGGAUUCCAUUUUAUUAAUUCUUCGAAGCAGAGACUCCUGGUUUUAAGUACGGUGUCAAGCCAACCUCUAAGUUCACCUGCAAGAUUUUCAAUUUCCCGCGAUUCAAGACGACUAUUCCCGGGUCUGGUUUGGCGGGAGAUGAGGUUGGCUGGGUUCCGGAAUCGACCAGCUCUGACGACGAACUAAAAAAUUUGUAAAGUCCAACCAUUUCAAAAUGCACUUCUGGAGAUCUCAGUAACUAGUGGACCAGUGGAUAUAAUGUUGCUUUCUCGUUUUGUGCUCGUUAAUUUUGCUGAAUGCGAACCAGUUGGCUCA